AAAAUAAAAAACCAAGAACUAAUAAAUGGCCAAUAUCCACUCUAUGAUUUACUAAGAUCUAUUCAAUAUCAAAUACAAAGAAGAAAAUAAAAUAAAAUAAAAUAAAAUUUGAUAGAAUCUAAAGUAGCUUAGACUUGUAUUAGUAGGGAUGCAACUAUAAAUUAGGAUUUUAAUUCUAUUAAUGCAUUUUAAUUGGUGGAUUGAUUAAAAAAAUAUUUUAAAAUCAUUUAAUUAUAGUAAUAUUAAGAUUAAAAAU
rnacentral:lncRNA from 1 species